rnacentral:lncRNA from 1 species
CCUACAGCUUUGAAGGCUCAGAAAACAUAACUGCUUGAAAAACUGAGUUAACUCUAUGACUGCCAGGACAAAAGCUUAGAAUUUAGAAAUGAAACAAUGAAUAAGUAGAGAAGGCUAAACCCCAAGUGAAGCGACCAGCGAUAAAUACUCAGGUGACUCUAAUGGAAGCCAAAGCAAUGCCAUAUGACAAAGGCAUUGGAUGUUCAUUCGUUUUCCAAGAAAGGGGUAAAAGGACAGCCUACUUUGUCCAGUGGAGGCAGCCAUCCCAUUCCAACUGACAUUUGUGGGAUAUUAGAGACCAGGAAGUGUUAAGAGAUGAUCUUCACAAAAUGCUGAGCUUGUGUGGGUGUCGAACUACAAACAGGAGAAGACGGAUAUUCACAUGCGGUGGUGGAGGGUUAUGGCUCUCCAGCCUGGAGAAUUGGAGCUUGAGCCAGGUGAACAGUGGGUCCAUUAAAGGGGCAGCUCAGUUCAGCAAGUCAGAGCCUGAACAGGAUGAAAGGGGCAACCCACAAAGAUGAGGACUGAAUUGGAGUUACAGAUCCCAGUUGGUUGGAGAGACUAUUUUCCUGGAGGGAUGACCCAGCUUGGGAGUCACAGCCAGAGCUGGGAUAAAAGAUAAUCCACACUCUUUUGGAUAUAAUAUGUAUGAAAGAAGUUUUCAUUUGCAUCAAUAUGCUAGUCC